AUGAAAGCCAACACAGACAGUAGACUUUGUUUUCAAAUUCACAGCAAAAUGAAAUUUUUUUUGGGAAAUUUUUGUGUGAAAAUUAAAUAAUAUUCCAGCAUGGCGGGCAAGAGCCAUUGUGCCGCUGUACUCAAUACUCAACCGAUGCUGCACAUCAAUCGCGAUGAUUAUGUGGACGUCUAUCGCGAUGUCUAUAAUACCGGAUACUUUUCGAUUUGGUGCACAAUACUCGCCUUCACAGCCUUUGUGCUUUUUCACACCUUACGUUAAAGAAUAUUACGCCAUGCUGAUGGUUAAACUUAUUUCCGGUUUUUUUGUUUCUGCCUUGGAAAAGAAUUAAACACAUCACGGAAGUUGAUUUAAUAUUUAUCUUUUAAACAGCAAUCAAAGAAUGGAACUAUAAAAGACAUCUUCAAGCUAAACAUUUCAAUUGAAACUUAAUUUAUUUCUCAAGCACCAAAUCAUAGAAUGAAAUUUUAAAAAUUUUAUUUUUUUUCAAUUUUAAAAUACUAUCAAAAUCUUUGUAUAAUAUUGUAAUGUUAUUCAAAUUAUUAAAAAGUAAAAUGUAAAAGCCGUAGAUUUUUAUACCAGCUUUAA